GGGUCAGUAGGUUGGUCGUGCCACCGGUACGUACUGGUCUCACUGAUUCCUCCUCCCUGAAGAACCGUAAUGCCAUUAAUUUGGUGUUGCGGGGAAACAGGACUGUUACUUUUAAAAAAUUAGAGUGUUUAAAGCAAGCUAACGCUUGAAUACAUUAGCAUGGAAUAAUGAAAUAGGACGAUCGAUCCUAUUUUGUUGGUUUCUAGGAUUGACGUA
rnacentral:rRNA from 1 species